CUCUCUCUCUCUCUCUCUCUCUCUCUCUCAACCCUAGCUACGAAACCGUAGCCGCCGCCGCCGUGAUGGUCUCAACCCCGCCUCUUCUCCCACCAACACACUCACACCCAUCAAGAACGCGAAGCUCUCACCCCUGUCGCAGAUCUGCCUAAACCCGGUAGUCUCUCUUCUCUCUCUCUCUCUCUCUCUCUCUCUCUCUCUCUCUCUCUCUCUCUCUCUCUCUCUCUCUAUAUAUAUAUAUAUAUAUCUGCUAUUUUUUGUUAAACGUGGGGUGUUUUUAUUUUUCAAGUUUUUCAGAUCUGCUAUUUCCGUUAGAUCUGCAUGUAUCCUUUUUUUUUUUUUGGGUAUUUGGUAUUUAGUGUUUUUGAAUCACUGUCUCGUGUGGGUUUUCUGAUUCCGAGGGUUGAAGGGUUUGAUUGGUUGAAGGGUUGAAGGGUUGUGUAAAUGCUAUGCAUUAAAUCGAUCAUGUCUGUAAUAUAGCUUUUUGUUUAGAUAAAGAUUCCUACUUGUUCUUGAUGAAAUGCCUGAACCCAAGGCCUUGUAUAAAAGUAUAAAAUACCGUUGAUAUUAAACUAAGCUUUUGGGUGUGAAAAAGAAGGUAAUUUAAUCAAUAUCCUAUAUAGUCGCCUUAAUUAAUUAAGAACUUGUCAACUUGUUGUACGUUUCAAUCCCUAAUAUGAAGGGCUUAGACUUUACUAUGAUAUGUAGAGUGACUUGUUUGAUCAAGUGACUGCAGAAUGUAGUCAAUAUCACCUUGAGCUUCAGUCUUUGAUAAGGUAAUCUUAUUUUCUUUAUCUGCUUCUCGCAGCUCCUUAUUUGUUGCUCUAUUCUAUUUCCAAUUUUUUUUUUUUGGGAAUUCUACUUAUGAAAAAUAAUUUUUAUUUGGAAUUCUGUUCCAGAAAACAAUAUAUUAUGUCUCAUCUUUUGUCCUCAACGCAGUUGUUUUUAUAUCUUUUAUCCCAAAUGUGAUUUAUGAGCUUUGACAUCGUUUCCUUAAUUUAGAUGUAUUUAGGUGUUUGAACUCCUGGCUCUGCAGAGCCAUCUCUUGGUUCUGACAGUGACCACCUAGAACCUAAUCAAACUACCAAUGUAGAGGAUGAUACUCAUAAGCAUAAGGAUGAUGGUCAACAACUGUCCAACGGCCAAGUGUCAGUUAGUGAAAAAGGAAUUGAUCAUGAGAAGCAUCCAAUUGAUUUAAGUCAGAGUGCUGAAAGUCCACUCACUGAGACAGCUCCUACAAUCCAGGAGGAUGCUCCAAAGAAGUCUUUUGCAUCAGUGUGCUGCUGAGUAUAUUCUGUAUAAGCUGAAACUGAUGGGAAAGAUAAUUGAAGUCCACAGUGCUGCUGAAUUUUCUUACUUCAAUCUUUUUAUUUUUUUGGGGGGGGGGAUUUGUUUGCAUUUAAAUGUAGUUUUUCUGAUCAAUUAGUAUGCUAGAUUUUAUUUUAAGAGUUGGUACUCGAAACCGUUCAUUUAAAACAGAGUUGACAAGAUAAAAUCAUUGAAGUGGUGGAAAAAUAUUAAUAUUUCCCCAUUUCUUUGGUUCAGACCAUUAAAAAAAAGCCAAUUAUAAAAGGAUUCUUCCACUGUUUUA